rnacentral:rRNA from 1 species
UGAGGAAUAUUGGUCAAUGGGCGAGAGCCUGAACCAGCCAAGUAGCGUGCAGGAUGACGGCCCUCCGGGUUGUAAACUGCUUUUAGUUGGGAAUAAAAAAAGGGACUUGUCCCUUCUUGUAUGUACCUUCAGAAAAAGGACCGGCUAAUUCCGUGCCAGCAGCCGCGGUAAUACGGAAGGUCCAGGCGUUAUCCGGAUUUAUUGGGUUUAAAGGGAGCGUAGGCGGAUUGUUAAGUCAGCGGUUAAAGGGUGUGGCUCAACCAUGCAUUGCCGUUGAAACUGGCGAUCUUGAGUGCAGACAGGGAUGCCGGAAUUCGUGGUGUAGCGGUGAAAUGCUUAGAUAUCACGAAGAACUCCGAUCGCGAAGGCAGGUGUCCGGGCUGCAACUGACGCUGAGGCUCGAAAGUGUGGGUAUCAAACAGGAUUAGAUACCCUGGUAGUCCACACAGUAAACGAUGUAUACUCGCGGUUUGCGAUAGACAGUAAGCCGCCAGCGAAAGCAUUAAGUAUACCACCUGGGGAGUACGCCGGCAACGGU